AUUAUAAUUCUUAUUCUAUAUCUCAAAGGCUGAAAAGUUUAUUAGAUCGUGAAAAAGAGGAACUGGCAGAAGCAGAAGUAAUAAAAGAUUCACCUGAUUCUCCUGAACCACCUAACAAAAAGCCUCUCAUUACAAUGGAUGAAAUGCCAACCACUGAGAAAUCCAAAGGCCCAAUGUCUCUGCUGUCUUUAUGGAGCAACAGAAUUAACACUGCAAAUUCUAGGAAACAUCAAGAAUUCAUGGGACGCUUGAAUUCUGUGAACAAUAAAGCUGAACUGUACCAACAUCUUAAAGAGGAGAAUGGAAUGGAAACCACCGAAAAUGGAAAAGCCAGCCGACAGUGAAUACCCAGUCCAAAAACGAUGUUUAGUCAUGUUGCAUAAACCUCUUUAUGCUUAAUUUGAUACCUGUAUCAAAUUGUACAGUAUAGUUGCUUCAAUUGGUUUUUACUUUUUCUAAUUUCAGCCCUUUUCUAUGAAAAUACAAAAUCUGAAUAUUAAAUGCAUAAAUCAUCUACUCUAGUGUUGAAUAAAGUAAAACUUUAUUUACCACUAGUUCUAAUGUCUUUAUAAUGAAAAGUAGCUUUUUGCCUAUUGAAGAAAUGCAGAAUUUUGGAUGAGACUGGGGGAGUUGAUCUCUCCUACCUCUGCUCAACUGGAUUUUCUGUGGAGCACAAAUAAGACCCUAGGGUGGCAGUGGAGUUGCAGUGGUCUGUUCUGAUUCUGUCUGUCAUAUCAGGUGUGGCAUUCCUCAUUUUUUCUCAGUUUGAGUGUAUUUACCUGGAAGUUGGUGUCUAGGACAGAACAGAGAUUCUAUUGGUAUACUACCCAUCCUGC